AUACGGAGGGUGCAAGCGUUACUCGGAAUCACUGGGCGUAAAGCGCGCGCAGGCGGCUAUUUAAGUUGGAUGUGAAAGCCUACGGCUCAACCGUAGAACUGCAUCCAAAACUAUUUAGCUAGAGUGUGGGAGAGGAAGAUGGAAUUAGUUGUGUAGGGGUAAAAUACGUAGAGAUAACUAGGAAUACCAAAAGCGAAGGCAAUCUUCUGGAACACUACUGACGCUGAGGCGCGAAAGCGUGGGGAGCAAACAGGAUUAGAAACCCUAGUAGUCC
rnacentral:rRNA from 1 species